rnacentral:tRNA from 1 species
UGUAGCUCAGUGGUGUAGCGCCUGCCUGGCAAGCACGAGGCCCUGAGUUCAAUUCUUGGUA